UUUUAGGUAUAGUUCAAUGGUAGAACAGUGGUCUCCAAAGCCGAAAGUGGUAGUUCGAUUCUAUCUACCCCUAACCCUUAAAAA